rnacentral:rRNA from 1 species
GACGAACGCUGGCGGCGUGCUUAACACAUGCAAGUCGAACGGUAAGGCCCUUCGGGGUACACGAGUGGCGAACGGGUGAGUAACACGUGGGUGACCUGCCCCCUACUCUGGGAUAAGCCUGAGAAAUUGGGUCUAAUACCGGAUAUGACUCAUGGCUGCAUGGUUGUGGGUGGAAAGCUUUUGUGGUGGGGGAUGGGCCCGCGGCCUAUCAGCUUGUUGGUGGGGUGAUGGCCUACCAAGGCUUCGACGGGUAGCCGGCCUGAGAGGGCGUCCGGCCACACUGGGACUGAGACACGGCCCAGACUCCUACGGGAGGCAGCAGUGGGGAAUAUUGCGCAAUGGGCGGAAGCCUGACGCAGCGACGCCGCGUGGGGGAUGACGGCCUUCGGGUUGUAAACCUCUUUCGACCUCGACGAAGCCUUUGGGUGACGGUAGGGGUGGAAGAAGCACCGGCCAACUACGUGCCAGCCGCCGCCGUAACAC